rnacentral:rRNA from 1 species
AUUGAACGCUGGCGGCAUGCCUUACACAUGCAAGUCGAACGGCAGCACGGGUGCUUGCACCUGGUGGCGAGUGGCGAACGGGUGAGUAAUACAUCGGAACGUACCUUAUCGUGGGGGAUAACGCAGCGAAAGCUGUGCUAAUACCGCAUACGCCCUGAGGGGGAAAGCGGGGGAUCGCAAGACCUCGCGCGAUUAGAGCGGCCGAUGCCUGAUUAGCUUGUUGGUGGGGUAAAAGCCCACCAAGGCGACGAUCAGUAGCUGGUCUGAGAGGACGAUCAGCCAAACUGGGACUGAGAAACGGCCCAGAAUCCUACGGGAGGCGGCAGUGGGGAAUUUUGGACAAUGGGGGCAACCCUGAUCCAGCAAUGCCGCGUGAGUGAAGAAGGCCUUCGGGUUGUAAAGCCCUUUUGUCAGGGAAGAAACACCGGCUCUAACACAGUCCGGGAAUGACGGUACCUGAAGAAUAAGCACCGGCUAACUACGUGCCAGCAGCCGCAGUAA